rnacentral:rRNA from 1 species
UACGUAGGGUGCAAGCGUUGUCCGGAAUUAUUGGGCGUAAAGAGCUCGUAGGCGGUCAGUCGCGUCUGCUGUGAAAACUCGGGGCUUAACUCCGGCCUGCAGUGGGUACGGGCUGACUAGAGUGCGGUAGGGGAGACUGGAAUUCCUGGUGUAGCGGUGAAAUGCGCAGAUAUCAGGAGGAACACCGGUGGCGAAGGCGGGACUCUGGGCCGAUACUGACGCUGAGGAGCGAAAGCGUGGGGAGCAAACAGG